CGCAGGAAGCAAGUUGAUCCCCUUCGGGGGUGACGCUUGUGGAAUGAGCGGCGGACGGGUGAGUAACACGUGGGCAACCUGCCUGUAAGACUGGGAUAACCCCGGGAAACCGGGGCUAAUACCGGAUAAUACUUUCUUUUGCAUAAAGGAAAGUUGAAAGGCGGCUUCGGCUGUCACUUACAGAUGGGCCCGCGGCGCAUUAGCUAGUUGGUGAGGUAACGGCUCACCAAGGCGACGAUGCGUAGCCGACCUGAGAGGGUGAUCGGCCACACUGGGACUGAGACACGGCCCAGACUCCUACGGGAGGCAGCAGUAGGGAAUCUUCCGCAAUGGACGAAAGUCUGACGGAGCAACGCCGCGUGAGUGAUGAAGGUUUUCGGAUCGUAAAACUCUGUUGUUAGGGAAGAACAAGUACGAUAGUAACUGAUCGUACCUUGACGGUACCUAACCAGAAAGCCACGGCUAACUACGUGCCAGCAGCCGCGGUAAUACGUAGGUGGCAAGCGUUGUCCGGAAUUAUUGGGCGUAAAGCGCUCGCAGGCGGUCCUUUAAGUCUGAUGUGAAAUCUCGCGGCUCAACCGCGAACGGUCAUUGGAAACUGGAGGACUUGAGUACAGAAGAGGAGAGUGGAAUUCCACGUGUAGCGGUGAAAUGCGUAGAGAUGUGGAGGAACACCAGUGGCGAAGGCGACUCUCUGGUCUGUAACUGACGCUGAGGAGCGAAAGCGUGGGGAGCGAACAGGAUUAGAUACCCUGGUAGUCCACGCCGUAAACGAUGAGUGCUAGGUGUUAGGGGGUUUCCGCCCCUUAGUGCUGAAGUUAACGCAUUAAGCACUCCGCCUGGGGAGUACGGCCGCAAGGCUGAAACUCAAAAGAAUUGACGGGGGCCCGCACAAGCGGUGGAGCAUGUGGUUUAAUUCGAAGCAACGCGAAGAACCUUACCAGGUCUUGACAUCCUCUGCCAUUCCUAGAGAUAGGAAGUUCCCUUCGGGGACAGAGUGACAGGUGGUGCAUGGUUGUCGUCAGCUCGUGUCGUGAGAUGUUGGGUUAAGUCCCGCAACGAGCGCAACCCUUGAUCUUAGUUGCCAGCAUUUAGUUGGGCACUCUAAGGUGACUGCCGGU
rnacentral:rRNA from 2 species